rnacentral:lncRNA from 1 species
CUAAACAGUAGCUUGUCCUCUACUCAUAAUGUGAGAGGCAGCAUGUGCUCUAUUAAUCUUGUGAGUGACAGCUUGUGCUCUGCUCGUAAUGCGAAGGGCAGUAUGUGCUUUGCUCAUUUUAUGAGCGACAGCUUGUGCUUUGCUCGUAAUGCGAGAGGCAGUAUGUGCUCUGCUCAUCUUGUGAGCAGCAGCUUGUGCUCUGCUUGUAACAUGAGAGAUAGUAUGUGCUCUGCUCAUCUUGUGAGUGGCUGCUUGUGCUCUGUUCAUAAUGUGAG